GUUGACCUCGGAUCAGGUAGGGAUAC
rnacentral:ncRNA from 16 species